GGAAUAUCACACUCUGGGGACUGUGGUGGGGUAGGAGGAGGGGGGAGGGAUAGCAUUGGGAGAUAUACCUAAUGCUAGAUGACACAUUAGUGGGUGCAGCGCACCAGCAUGGCACAUGUAUACAUAUGUAACUAACCUGCACAAUGUGCACAUGUACCCUAAAACUUAGAGUAUAAUAAAAAAAAAAAAAGAAAGAAAAAGAAACUUCACAUGGGGCCACAUGUCUAAUAAAGGUGACUGAAUCCCAAAAUUAUAUUGGUAACAUGGAAAUUCCUGAUAGGGGAAGAAUAUUCCCAGAAGUGUGACCAGUUAGGGCCAAAAUAAAAGGUACAAUUUACCCAAUUAUUAUACCUAAGUACCCGGCCUUAUUAAAUAUAUGUUCCUCAAUAUCAAAUUGUACUAAAAAUCAGGAAACUAAGCUCCUAGUAGAGAACUGGUCAAAGGGAAGAUCUUUGUGGAGUCAGCAGUUUCCUCUGUCCUACAAUUUGGCAAAAUAAUCUCAUAAGCACAAGAAGGUUAAUAUGCUUGCAUUAAAAAUGUUAAGUUACUUAUAAUCCAAUUUAAAUGUAAGUUCAAAUACCUUAACAUGUUCACAUUACUUUUUUAAUUCACAAAAACGUUCUUAUCUAUCUUUAUUUUAAGAUGUUUUCCACAUACAUGCUUAGUGAAUUUUCUUUUAGGAGAUGUAAGAGAGUCUACAAAUCUUUAUUCUACUAUUUCCC
rnacentral:lncRNA from 1 species